UGGACAAAGACUGGGUGUAGAGUCUGACGCGCUGUGAUUUGCAUAAACGCCGAUAUAACUACCCCGGCUCCCAGGCGUUUCGCCUCAGUCUAGAGUGAGCUGAGUUUGGUUGUUUCUUUGAGAAGUGCAGACGAACGUGCAGAUAGUUGGGACAAUGGCUGAUGAGAAACCCAAGGAGCUCGUGGGAGAACUACAGCAGGAGAUCACUGGAUUCGAAAAGAGCAAACUUAAAGAAACAAAGACUGAGACGAAGAAUCCCUUGCCAGACGCAGCAACAAUCGAAGCAGAAAAAAAAGCGGCAAAAGAAGCAGCAGCGGCACAAUGAAAGUGAUUUUGUUUCUGAAUUUGCACUGUACAUUCCACAAGCAUUGCCUUCUAGCUACGUAUUUCCUAAAGGGGAAAAAAAACUUUGGAUAUUGAGUGACCUGGUUGUCUCCUACCCCCACAACCUCCUUUCUUUCUGCACCCAACCCUUCUACCCCAAAUCUAUUUUCUUCCACUUGCCCUUCCUUUAAUUUGGAAAAGUGGGGGUGGGGGAUUUUAACUACUGACCAUCUGGCUGGCUUAGUAUGUCUGGUGGCACUAAAGAGCUUGCAUGUCUCAUGGGAGCCCAGGAAAGACUGCAGGAACAUUAAUAAUCAAAUGCCUGUGAAUGAAGAUGACAAGGACCUAUGAUCAAUUCAAUCAAAUCAACUAUGUAGAGUGCCAUUCUGUUAGGUCUCUUGGCAUGCACAGUAACUGAUUUUGGUUUUUGUUUUGAUAUGCAAAUAAAAAUUUGAAAUUAA